GGUUUAAGUGGGAAAAAUAGGACACUGAAAUUUUUUAGUGUUAUUAUCUUCCUUAAAGACUUAAAUUUAAGUGGUUUACCGCCACUGUGUGACACUGGCAUGUCUAGCUCACUUUUUCAUUCUCUGUUCGCUCGGUCUUGGCCUCUUUUCCCUCUCUCUCUCUCCUCCGCUGCUGCUGCUGCUGUUUAUUACUCGGCGAUUCGUGUGUGUUACCCGCCACUGACAAACGAAAGCAAAAGAGAUAUCUAUUUUUUUUCUGCUUCAAAAUGAGUUAUUUUAUUUUUUUUCAAAAAUUAUGAGCUGAGGGAUGAACAAGAAUGAGGGAGGAGAAAAAGAAAUGAUACAAAUACGAGGGGGAUGGAGGGUACUAUUGGACUUACAGAUUUUAGCCAGAGUUAUUUCCCAGGGAACAUCUCAUAUUUCUCCGAAAGGCUAGAAAAGGCUACGGCAGCAGAGGCAGCGUCCUCAAAACACAAAACGGCCGUUGAUUUGAAUCUAAAUUUGAAUCUAAACUUUAUAGAACUAACAGAAGGUUUAAAAGAAGGAUACGAAAGUGAAAGCUACCAAAGUGAUGUGUACAUCAAGCAAAAUUUUUUAUUGAAUCAGGAAUACGAUGAAGUGAAAUUACCGGUUUCAGAACCAGUUGUUUAUAACCCCUUUUAAUCGAACACGUUCCAACAAAAAUAAUACAUUACUACACUUUAUAUAUGUACAUUUACUAAUACUUUACAUACACAUCAUAACAGCCGCUUCAGUGUCGAGGCAAAAGGCCGCCAUCGAGAGACUCUACACCUGGAGUGACUUUUGUCGGACUAUUUAUCAACGGGAUUCAUGGGUUCAGCCAUACAUGGGAGGGUAUCAAGAACCGACCCCAGAACUUUUCCAAUUGAAUCUCAAUCUAGUAGCGAUGAAGACUGGGGUGAACCUUCCGAUUCUUCUGGGUCGAAAAAUUCGCGUUCAAGAAAAGAAGCAAAACAAAACGCGGACCGAGUGUUUAGACCAG